rnacentral:SRP_RNA from 2 species
GCUGGGUGUGGUGGUGCACGCCUGUAAUCCCAGCUACUUGGGAGGCUGAGGCAGGGGAAUUGCUUGAACCCGGGAAGUGGAGGUUGCAGUGAGCUGAGAUCAUGCCACUGCACUCCAGCCUGGGUGACAGAGAGAGACCUUGUCUACA